GCACAAACAGACACAGACAGUACAUAUACUAGAAUUGGAACGAUACAGAGACGAUUAGCAUGGCCCCUGCGCAAGGAUGACAUGCAAAUUCGUGAAGCGUUCCAUAUUUUU
rnacentral:snRNA from 1 species